CCUACACCGGGAAAGGAGAGGCUUUUUAAGACGGCCCCGCCCCUCAGCCCCGCCCUCCGCCACCUCCUCGCCCGGGGCCACGCCGGUGCAGCACUGCGGGGUCUCCGCCCUGCGAGCUCAGCUGUCUAGGGUCAGAGGUCAGUUAGACCCACCCGGGUCCUUCCUUGCACCCCAGCCCAGGCGAGCGAUCCCUGGGGUCCCCUGCCGGUUCCCGCACGUGGGCUGAGCGGGAGCAGUUCGCAUCCCAAGGGUGGCCGCUGCCUGAAACUAGGGGGUGCCCACUUCUGCCCCGAGUAGCCGGAGACACACCUCGGUAUAAAGGAGCACGGCCUGACUUAAGCAGGAUCGCGCUGGGCGGCGCCGCCUCUGCCCGACCGGCCGCGCGGGACUCGCUUCUUACGUAAGCCGGGUGCGGGCUCCUGGCUACAGCCGCCGCGCCCCCUCCUCUCCCCUCCCGGUGUGUCCGGGGCCAGACUCAGGCUGCGGGGGCGAACGGAGAUGGAGACGCCCUGAGAGAAAGGAACCGCCUGGGGACCCAGUCUAUUGUCAAGGGGAAGGAAAAACACAACUUGUUGAGCGCCUACUCGGAGUCCAAUUCUAGGCUAUGUGAUAUUAUUAUGCAACCUUUGCAGUUGCAGCCGCGGUUUUGAACCCCUGACUGGCUCCAAAGCCCAGCACCCUGGAAACGAGGAAUAAAAGGAUGCCUUUCGCUCGUGCACCGGCCUGAAGCCAGAUGAUCCCAA